UUCGGGACCGGUUACGUUGGGGACGCAGCUCCCUUUCGGCUUGACAGGGUCGCGGCGCAUUUAUGGCGAGGUCGAUAGUGGGACCCACGAGAUCGGCACCCUGAUCCUCCAGUCCGCGCCCGAGGCGGAUAUUCGUCUGGUGGACCCGAGCGAGUCCGACCCCCACGCCCAGGGUCGGGCGAGGCGGAGUUUUUGCGGUGGGGGUCGGGCGCUCCCGACCCCGGCCCUCUGGGUCGGGCGAGGCGGAGUUUAGUCUUCAAGGGGUCGGGAGCGCCCGAUCCCGGGACUCCGGGUCGGACGAGGCGGAACGUGGCCUCUCCCCCUCGUAUUGGGCUGACGACAAUUUUGCUACCUUAGAUGGGCCUGGGCCUUUAAGUUCUGUUGAUUUCGUGGGCUGGGGAGAUCGUUGAUAUUUCCCCCCAACAAUCCCG
rnacentral:lncRNA from 1 species